rnacentral:rRNA from 1 species
AUUGAACGCUGGCGGCAGGCUUAACACAUGCAAGUCGAGCGGAGAUGAGGUGCUUGCACCUUAUCUUAGCGGCGGACGGGUGAGUAAUGCUUAGGAAUCUGCCUAUUAGUGGGGGACAACAUUCCGAAAGGAAUGCUAAUACCGCAUACGUCCUACGGGAGAAAGCAGGGGAUCUUCGGACCUUGCGCUAAUAGAUGAGCCUAAGUCGGAUUAGCUAGUUGGUGGGGUAAAGGCCUACCAAGGCGACGAUCUGUAGCGGGUCUGAGAGGAUGAUCCGCCACACUGGGACUGAGACGCGGCCCAGACUCCUACGGGAGGCAGCAGUGGGGAAUAUUGGACAAUGGGGGAAACCCUGAUCCAGCCAUGCCGCGUGUGUGAAGAAGGCCUUAUGGUUGUAAAGCACUUUAAGCGAGGAGGAGGCUACUGAGACUAAUACUCUUGGAUAGUGGACGUUACUCGCAGAAUAAGCACCGGCUAACUCUGUGCCAGCAGCCGCCGCAGUAA